UCCUACGGGACGCAGCAGUGAGGAAUAUUGGUCAAUGGGCGGGAGCCCGAACCAGCCAAGUCGCGUGAGGGUAGACGGUCCUAUGGAUUGGAAACCUCUUGAGGCGGGGAGCAAUGCCGGGCACGUGUGCCCGGAGGGAGAGUACCCGUAGAAUAAGCAUCGGCUAACUCCGUGCCAGCAGCCGCGGUAAUACGGAGGAUGCGAGCGCUAUCCGGAUUUAUUGGGUUUAAGGGGUGCGUAGGCGGAUUUUUAAGUCAGCG
rnacentral:rRNA from 1 species